rnacentral:rRNA from 1 species
GAUUGUUCACCCACCAAUAGGGAACGUGAGCUGGGUUUAGACCGUCGUGAGACAAGUUAGUUUUACCCUAUUGAUGACAAUGUCGCAAUAGUAAUUCAACCUAGUACGAGAGGAACCGUUGAUUCACACAAUUGGUCAUUGCGCUUGGUUGAAAAGCCAGUGGCGCGAAGCUACCGUGUGCUAGAUUAUGAUUGAACGACUCUAAGUCAGAAUUUGGGCUAGAAGCGAUGCAUGCGCCCGCUUGCCGACCGCAGUAGGGGCCGUCCAACCCCCAAAGGCACGUGUCAUUGGUGAAGCCCGCACGGCGGAUGAGCGGCGCGGGCCGCCUUGAAGUACAAUUCCUAUCUCGAGCGGUGGGUAGAAUCCUCUGCAGAUGACUUAAAUACGCGACGGGGUAUUGUAAGUGGCAGAGUGGCCUUGCUGCCAUGAUCCACUGAGAU